ensembl:lncRNA
CAAGGUUGCACAGUUCUGGCUGAGGCUCAGCCACGGCAGCGUGGUGGGAUCCUUCCUUCUCUCCCUGCGUGGCUGUGUGCAUCCUUGAGCACAUCCAUGCAUCCCUCUCCGGGGCAAUGGUAAAUGGCCAACCCAACGCUGCAGCUGUGAUGUAAGCAAAGAAGCAGAGGGAGCAUUCAGCCCUAAGAAAACGAGCAUUAACCGCCGGUAUCACUCCAUCUCUCCACUGUCAUCAUCCCGUGGAACACAGCAGAGCCAGAAGAAGACAGAAUGCAACCAGACCUGAACACGGCCACGGAUGUCACUCCAAGCAGCUGGCCUGCACAGAGCACUAUCCUGUGUGGCUGCAACGUGACCACAUCCUGCCAUCCUGCCCCCAAACAAUUACAUCAAAAAGGAAAAGCCAUCAGGACUGGCAGUGCUCAGCUGGGGAGGAGCAGCAGGAGCGACGUGCCGGAUCCUGGGGGUGCACACAGACCUUCUUGGUGAAGAAAACCAAGCACUGCUUUGCCUCGCUGAGUUGACGAAUCCUACUGUGCCCAUAUUGCAGGAGUCUGGGGGAGGAAGACUGUAAGAAGAGGGGUUUUGCAGUCCACCUGCUGAAAAAGAUGGAGAUGUUUGUGUUGUGUCAGUCAACUGGGUCAGAAUGGCACUUACCAGCACUGCACUGGUGCAAAUAAGGGCAGCACAGUGAGUGCAGGGUUAGAAGCGGUGUCCAUGGGAUCCCUGUGCCUGUUUGCUGUCUUAGUUCAACAUUCAACAAGUCCUGAAGGGCUGAGGGGGGGGUAUGCACAGAGCACACCCUGGCUGCACGCUCAUUGACCUGCAAUGCACGGAGGGUGAGACGGUCACACAUAACCACUUCCCAGGCAGGGCAGCAGUUAAUGAUGUGUCGUCAGCCCAUUCUGAAUUCUCAUUCUGGGGGAUUAAACUGCAAGAACUUGCCUUGCCCUGGGCAGAAGCUCAGCUUGGAGAGCCGUAUUUUCCUUGUCUUUUGAAGAAAUUCUGAGGUCCUUUAGCAACAUCUGUGGUCAAAAGGACGUUUUCUAGUGGCAGACUCUGAGAAAAUCCCAGCUUCACCCACAUGGGGCUGCAGCAGCAGCAGCAAAAAGUGAACGUGACCACCCUUGAGAAAGCCCUGUGCAGAGUUUGUUCUUUGUCGGGGUCACCACCUCUGAAGGCUUUGUUUUCCUUGUGCUUCCAGAGCCUGGAUUUGGGGAUGAGGCUGGGGAGAGGCUUUGUGUGCUGUAACCAUUCCUCUUCCUAAGGCUGAUGGAAGUGCUGGGUUAACACAUGCAGUGGGAUGGGCAGUGGCUUCAGAAUGUAUGGGUAGACUGUAACUGAUCACCUGGGACAGACGCAUGGCUUGCAAGGACAUUGGAAAGCCAGGAACUGCAAAAUGAGCAGGGAAAAGGCUGCAGGGACUGUUGGUGAGAUGGCUCCAGGGCUGCAGGCAUUCCAGCAAUGGGGCAGAAGUCAUGGAAAGUUCUCUGGGAAACAAACUGAACAGGAAACAAUACUGUUAUAUAAGUACACAGAGAGGCUGCGGCUGCACCCAUAAAGCUUUCACAGGGCUAUUUGUCAUUUACUGACAGCACAGAAACAUGAACCAUAAAAC